CCUACGGGGGGCAGCAGUGAGGAAUAUUGGUCAAUGGACGAGAGCCUGAACCAGCCAAGUAGCGUGAAGGAUGACUGCCCUAUGGGUUGUAAACUUCUUUUAUAUGGGAAUAAAAUGUUCCACGUGUGGGAUUUUGUAUGUACCUUAUGAAUAGGAUCGGGCAACUCCGUGACAGCAGCCGCGGUAAUACGGAGGAUCCGAGCGUUAUCCGGAUUUAGUGGGUGUAAAGGGAGCGUAGGUGGGUUGUUAAGUCAGUUGUGAAAGUCUGCGGGUCAAACGUAAAAUUGCAGUUGAGACUGGCAGUCUUGAGUACAGUAGAGGUGGGCGGAAUUCGUGGUGUAGCGGUGAAAUGCUUAGAUAUCACGAAGAACUCCGAUUGCGAAGGCAGUUCACUGGACUGCAACUGACACUGAGGCUCGAAAGUGUGGGUAUCAAACAGGAUUAGAUACCCUUGUAGUC
rnacentral:rRNA from 1 species